UGAGCAAUCUGCCCUUCUCAUCGGAAAUAAGCGUUGGAAACGACGUCUAAUGCCGAAUACGACCUCCUUUCGCAUGAUCGGAGGUGGAAAGCUCCGGCGGAGAAGGAUGAGCUCGCGGCCUAUCAGCUAGUUGGUGUGGGUAAUGGCCCACAAGGCGACGACGGGUAGCCGGCCUGAGGAGGGUGACCCGGCCACACGUGGGACUGAGACACCGGCCCAGACCUCCGUACGGGAGCAG
rnacentral:rRNA from 1 species